ACGUCUGCCGCCUCAAAUUUAUUUAACCCCCGGAANAAACNGCCACCAAUNAAGGAAAAAACCGGGAAGGGCCCUUUUUGACCCGGGCCGAUUUAAUUUUCCAAACGGGAANUNAACCUUAAAAAGGGGUCUCUCUCGUAAUUCUGCCUUGUAUCCGUAGACACGUGCGGUCUAUUAAUAGUGGGGAAGACGAGCUGUUCCCGAUGUAGCGGGCGACGGGUGACUAACCCGUGGGUACCCUGCCAGUAAGACUGGGAUAACUCCGGGAAACCCGGAGCUAAUACNUAAUAGAUCCCUUGAACCGCAUGGUUUCAGGAUGAAAGACGGUUUCGGCUGUCACUUACAGAUGACCCCGCGGCGCAUUAGCUAGUUGGUGAGGUAACGGCUCACCAAGGCGACGAUGCGUAGCCGACCUGAGAGGGUGAUCGGCCACACUGGGACUGAGACACGGCCCAGACUCCUACGGGAGGCAGCAGUAGGGAAUCUUCCGCAAUGGACGAAAGUCUGACGGAGCAACGCCGCGUGAGUGAUGAAGGUUUUCGGAUCGUAAAGCUCUGUUGUUAGGGAAGAACAAGUGCAAGAGUAACUGCUUGCACCUUGACGGUACCUAACCAGAAAGCCACGGCUAACUACGUGCCAGCAGCCGCGGUAAUACGUAGGUGGCAAGCGUUGUCCGGAAUUAUUGGGCGUAAAGGGCUCGCAGGCGGUUUCUUAAGUCUGAUGUGAAAGCCCCCGGCUCAACCGGGGAGGGUCAUUGGAAACUGGGAAACUUGAGUGCAGAAGAGGAGAGUGGAAUUCCACGUGUAGCGGUGAAAUGCGUAGAGAUGUGGAGGAACACCAGUGGCGAAGGCGACUCUCUGGUCUGUAACUGACGCUGAGGAGCGAAAGCGUGGGGAGCGAACAGGAUUAGAUACCCUGGUAGUCCACGCCGUAAACGAUGAGUGCUAAGUGUUAGGGGGUUUCCGCCCCUUAGUGCUGCAGCUAACGCAUUAAGCACUUU
rnacentral:rRNA from 1 species